UGACCUCGGAUCAGGUAGGAAUACCCGCUGAACUUAAGCAUAUCAAU
rnacentral:rRNA from 15 species